rnacentral:sRNA from 1 species
UCCCUGGCUACUUGGGUUUGCUUUGUCGGUGCCCUUCAAAGUUCUAUCGUGGCAUUCUUCGCAGAACACCACCAUUCUCAUGCCUGGUCCAUUGGUUGGGAUACACGAUUCUUUGCUCCUGCUUACGCGGGAAUAGUUUCAUCCGGAGUUCAGUAUUACAUACAAGGCGUGGUGAUCAAAUCCAUGGGCCCAGUUAUUGUGACUGCU